ensembl:lncRNA
ACCUCGUUUCCUGGUCAGAAGUAGUGAAAUGACCAUUGCCAAUGCAAGCGGAACUGCCUUAGGACACAAGGGGGAGGUUAGGGCCUGCUGAGGGGCCUCCGAUGGUGGGCCCCGAGGGACCCCGAACACCUGUGCCCACCAACUCCCAGGUCAUCGCUGGGCCGCCUCUGUCUCCUGGGAGGCUCUGCCUCGGGGAGCACUCUUCCCAUGCUCCCAGCAAUGACUUCCAGGCCUCCCUCAGCAUCAAGAGGAGCCACGUCUUCUCCUUGUGACCCAGCAGUAUAAUUCACCCUAAAUAAUGGCAGAAUGGGCUGUGUGUAGUCUUUAAGAGUCAAAACAAUUUUACCACAACAGGAGUCAUUCAGCAGUGGCUAACACUGCCCUGACCUGUGUGGUGCUGGGCUCCAAGGCGGCCCUCGGCACGCAUGGGGUUCACCGCGCCCCCAUGACCAUUCCCGGCAGGAGGCCGGACAGAGGACUGCGUUAUGUCUCCCCUAAAAGAACAUCACAGAAGUCACACACUCCGGGUGCCACGCGUAUUACAGACGGAGGGAAAGCAGAUGAGCGGGCGGGACGACUACACCCGAGCGGGCUCGCCACACCCAGGCAGCGCGGGUCGGGUUUCAGCUUCCUUGGCCCCUUCCUUUUUCUCGGUGCAGCCUCAGUGACGCGGGAUACAGCUCUGCCCUGGGGCCUCCCAGAGCCCACCUGGACCCCACACUGGGUCAGCCCUGGUGCGGAGGAGGCCGCCCUGGAUGGGCACGGGUCACAGUCUGCACCAGAAGUUUGGCGGAUCUCAGUGAGGCGUUAGUUUGCAUUUCCUCGCGACGGGUGAGUUGAACACCCUUUCAUGAGGGUAUUGAUCACCGUGUACCUUCUUCGUUGAAAUGUUGUCAGUGUUUAAAGUAACAAAUCUUCCUCUACGACUAUGCUACAAUUUUUGUGUAAUAUUUUGAUGAAUAUUUGAAAUACGUGCCGAUUUUCUUUGGAUUUCUUCUUUGACCAUGCUUUAUUUAGGAAACUCUAUUUAUGUAUUUAUUUUUUAAACCCCCUAUUCUGAGAAGCAUAUUUAGAAGAGUCUUGCCCACUUUCCAAAUAUGUGGAGAGUCUAAAAGGGAUCUUGCUAUUACUGAUUUAACUCCAUUUUGAUGAAGGAACAAACUGCAGGAUCUCACUUUUUAAAAUUACGGAGACUUAUUCUUACUGUUUAACAUAAGCCCUGGCCGGACGCGGUGGCUCAAGCCUGUAAUCCCAGCACUUUGGGAGGCCGAGACGGGUGGAUCACGAGGUCAGGAGAUCGAGACCAUCCUGGCUAACACGGUGAAACCCCGUCUCUACUAAAAAUACAAAAAAUUAGCCGGGCGAGGUGGCGGGCGCCUGUAGUCCCAGCAACUUGGGAGGCUGAGGCAGGAGAAUGGCGUGAACCCGGGAGGCAGAGCUUGCAGUGAGCUGAGAUCCGGCUCCUGCACUCCAGCCUGGGCGACGGAGCGAGACUCCGUCUCAAAAAAAAAAAAAAAAACCAUAAGCCCUAUCUUCGUAAAUGCUCCAUGCACACUUGAAAAUUACGUGUGUUCUGCAGCUGUGGGGUGGGACGCUCUCCAAGAGUUAAUGAGGUGCAGCUGGUUGACAGUGCUCUUAAAACCGGCGAAUCCUUCCUGUCCUGUCUGCUGUGCUUGCAGAGCCAUUACAUCUCCAACUAGGACAGUGAAUUUCUCUAUUCUUUCAGUUCUGUCCUUUUUACUUCGUGUAUUUUGAAACAUUAUUUUUUUAGGCAUUUAGGAUUUUUCUGUGAUCCUCACAGAGGCUGAC